rnacentral:rRNA from 1 species
CGGACGGGUGAGUAAUGCUUGGGAAUCUGGCUUAUGGAGGGGGAUAACUACGGGAAACUGUAGCUAAUACCGCGUAAUAUCUUCGGAUUAAAGGGUGGGACUUUCGGGCCACCUGCCAUAAGAUGAGCCCAAGUGGGAUUAGGUAGUUGGUGGGGUAAAGGCCUACCAAGCCGACGAUCUCUAGCUGGUCUGAGAGGAUGACCAGCCACACUGGAACUGAGACACGGUCCAGACUCCUACGGGAGGCAGCAGUGGGGAAUAUUGCACAAUGGGGGGAACCCUGAUGCAGCCAUGCCGCGUGAAUGAAGAAGGCCUUCGGGUUGUAAAGUUCUUUCGGUGAUGAGGAAGGUGUUUGUUUUAAUAGAACAAGCAAUUGACGUUAGUCACAGAAGAAGCACCGGCUAACUCCGUGCCAGCAGCCGCGGUAAUACGGAGGGUGCGAGCGUUAAUCGGAAUGACUGGGCGUAAAGGGCACGCAGGCGGUGACUUAAGUGAGAUGUGAAAGCCCCGAGCUUAACUUGGGAAUUGCAUUUCAUACUGGGUCGCUAGAGUAUUUUAGGGAGGGGUAGAAUUCCACGUGUAGCGGUGAAAUGCGUAGAGAUGUGGAGGAAUACCGAAGGCGAAGGCAGCCCCUUGGGAAUAUACUGACGCUCAUGUGCGAAAGCGUGGGGAGCAAACAGGAUUAGAUACCCUGGUAGUCCACGCUGUAAACGCUGU